GCGCGGGGCAGAGGCAGGGGGGCGGGAGAGACCUCCCCGCACCGGCGCGGUUACCGACCUCGGGCUCUUCCGUGGUGUCCGGUGGGCGGGGCUUGUCCGGUGGGCAGGGCUAGGAGGCGCCCGCUGCCGGUUCGGUCCCGCUAGAGGCGGGCUUGCACCGGGAGUCCGAGUGUGCAAACGGCCUCCCCGCCUUCGCCCCCCUCCCCGUUCCCGCGCCUGCAGCUCCGGCUGAGCCCGGCUACCCGCGAGGGAGAGGCAGCGCGAACUACAGUUCCCAGCAUGCACCGCAGAUGGGUUUUUCUCCCCUCCCUCCUCCGCUUUUUACUGACCCGGAAGCAUCAGCGACUCACUUCCGGGUGCGGGUUACUCUAUGGGACUACAGCUCCCAGAAUGCCGCGCGCCAUUGUAGGCCCGCCCGCCCCUUCCACGGGGUCGCUGCAGGAUGGAGAGGCGGGAAGAGAGCGCGAGCGGCUUCAGGAAGGAAACUGUUAACAAAAUACUUCAUCUCCAUUUCAAAGAUGACAAAACUCGAGUCAGCAGUGAUGCUUUGCUGCUAAUGGCAGAAAUGCUGAAUGUGUUUGUUCGAGAAGCUGCAGCUCGCAGCGCACGGCAGGCUCAAGCUGAGGACUUGGACAGGGUGGAUAUUGAACACGUGGAGAAAGUGCUGCCACAGCUGCUUCUGGAUUUUUAGAGGCCUGAUCAAGCAGAAUGGGAUGCAUCAGCUGCUAAGAGGAGAAAGUCCUGACCUGGGAGUUAAUCUGAUACCAAAUGUCUGGACUGGCAUCCUGUUUAACUAUGGGGAUGGGCAUUGUUGUUGCUUCACUAUGCCCUUGCCAUCUUGCUGCAGUAGCAGCUGCUUCCUCACCCCUCUCAUCUGAGCAGAGCAAGCCCUCAGCAACUGCAAAGAGUAAGAUGCCAUUCUAAAAAGGAUGUUGCACAUUUUGAUUGUUGUAAACCAAAUGACUAUUGCAGGGCAUCUUGCCCUCAAAAGCUGGGUCCCAUCCUGCUCCUGCAGUAGCAGUUUGCAGUUCACAGCCCAGAAUGAAUAGCAUGGCCAAAGCACUGCUACUUUCUCUACCAGUGAAAGAAACAGGUGCCACUCUGUGGAAAGAGUGAGUGGCUGGAACCCUUCCUCUAGCUGUGGGCUCUCAUCACCUCAGCAGGCUGCUAUGGCAGGGGUUUAAAGUCCAAUUCCGUGGCUGUCGGAGUAGUUUAGUUAAACAGGCGCUCAGCUGAAGGUCUGUGCCAAAAGCAGGUACCUGAUCUUUAUUUUAUAAAUAAACAGUGCGUCUCCCCCA
rnacentral:lncRNA from 1 species